rnacentral:rRNA from 1 species
UACGGAGGAUCCGAGCGUUAUCCGGAUUUAUUGGGUUUAAAGGGUGCGCAGGCGGGAGAUUAAGUCGGCGGUGAAAUUUUGCAGCUCAACUGUAAAAGUGCCUUCGAAACUGGUUUCCUUGAGUGUGGAUGAAGUAGGCGGAAUUUGUGGUGUAGCGGUGAAAUGCAUAGAUAUCGGGAGGAACACCAGUGGCGAAGGCGGCCUGCUGGACAUUAACUGACGCUGAUGCGCGAAAGUGUGGGGAGCAAACAGGAUUAGAUACCCGGGUAGUCCCU